GAGGGUGGGCCCCUCGGAAUCGCUAUACAGGUAGAGAUUCCAAACCACCAUAAGCUGCUGUGGUCAAAAGCCAUGGUAGUGAGCGUUAUGGAAAAGGCGAGACUUGACCUCGUCAGGU
rfam:Methanosarcina acetivorans str. C2A, complete genome.